UGUGUGUGUGUGUGGAGGCGUGUGUGUGCUCAUGUACCUGUGUGUGUGCCUGGAGGCGUGCGUGUGUGCUCGUGUACCUGUGUGCAUGUGCGUGGAGGUGUGUGUGCGUGCUCGUGUAUCUGUGUGUGUGCGUGUGCAUGUACCUGCAUGUGUGGAGGCAUGUGUGCACGCUCGUGAACCUGUGUGUGUACAUGUGCAUACUCCUGCAUAAUUUUCUAGUUUUGUGUGCUCAGGCCAAAAAGCACACAUCUGUCAUCCCAGCACUUUGGGAGGCCGAGGCGGGCAGAUCACGAGGUCAGGAGUUCAAGACCAGCCUGACCAACAUGGUGAAACCCCAUCUCUAGUAAAAAUACAAAAAAUUAGCCGGGCGUGGUGGUGCGCACCUGUAAUCCCAGCUACUCAGGAGGCUGAGGCAGAAGAAAUGCUUCAACCCGGGAGGCGGAGCUUGCAUUGAGCUGAGAUCACGCCACUGC
rnacentral:lncRNA from 10 species